CCAGAAGGCUUUUUGCCAAAACCACUGUGAACAGCUUAGACUUCGGUCUUUGCAAUUGCUUGGGUGUCGAAAGGCGCCCAAUCUUUAAAACUUUUAUAUUUGUUCUGAAACAAUGAAAAUUUAAAACUUUCAACAACGGAUCUCUUGGUUCUCGUAUCGAUGAAGAACGCAGCAAAGCGCGAUAGGUAAUGCGAAUUGCAGACGUGAGUCAUUGAAUUUUUGAACGCAUAUUGCGCUAUUAGUUUGUCUAAUAGCAUGCUUGUUGGAGUGAUAAUCUUCCUCUCAACCAUUUUUGGUAUGAGGUCUUGCUCCUUUUAGGAGUUAAAAUCAUGGAAGUGCACACGUUAAUUAACUCUGUGCAGUUAUACACUUUUCAUCCUCCAAUCAAGCAAGGUUACCCGCUGAACUUAAGCAUAUCAAUAAGCGGAGGAA
rnacentral:rRNA from 1 species